CGGUGUUCUAGUCUAGGCUGUGCAGUUACGUGUGACAGUAGGCACCUAGCACUAGUGAUGAAGUACGCCUCUGCCGUUUCCCACGGGUGUUGUUGUGGUGCAGAGGCGGGUGUUAGGGGCCGAAUCGUCCGCGGACUAACUCCGCUUAGCAGGAGGAUUAAGUAGAAAGGUACACAUUAAAACUUUGUGGGAUCUUAAGAUCCAAACGAAAACA